rnacentral:misc_RNA from 1 species
AUAAAAUGUUGCUAUAAAUCGUCUACACUGUUAAAAUCAUGUGAGAACCAAUGCUUCGGUUUAUUACUAGUUAUUCAUUUACUUUUUUAACAGCCAAAAUGUCUAAAUAGUGACUGCCAAAGACGAACCCAAACAUUUAACUAAGCUUGUGUUAGAGAAAACGUAUUUCGAUUUUCUUUGUUACUCAUUUCCUCCGGGGUCUUGAUACCUUCACUUAGGGAGCAGUCUGUCAAUUGCAAAAAGAUAACCACCUACAACAACAAAGGAAGCAAUUCCGCUCCGUGCCAUCCGCAAUCCCAAGCCACGAUAUAAGAUGUUUCUAUCUGCAGGAUGAAUCCCGGUCCAUCUCUCAAAUCUCUUCCCGGGCAGUUGAAAUUUGAGAAACCUUCUCUCCAUGGAUACAAACUUGGGCAGCACAAUGCAUUGUGAACGAGACCUGGCAGUAUCAAAACAAUGAGAAGCAGCAGCAGCAAGUGAACCAGAGAAUCCAGCUGCAAGACUAACAGCUAAAGGGGACAAUGGACCAACUUCUUCAUCAAAUCUAGGUGGGGGAUUCAUUCCAACUGCUUUCCAUUCAAGCAUUGCUUGAUGUAGGAUUUGCCAUGU